UACAGAGGUCUCAAGCGUUGUUCGGAUUCAUUGGGCGUAAAGGGUGCGUAGGCGGCGCGGUAAGUCGGGUGUGAAAUCUCGGGGCUUAACUCCGAAACUGCAUUCGAUACUGCCGUGCUUGAGGACUGGAGAGGAGACUGGAAUUUACGGUGUAGCGGUGAAAUGCGUAGAUAUCGUAAGGAACACCAGUGGCGAAGGCGGCUCACUGGACCGGAACUGACGCUGAGGCGCGAAAGCGUGGGGAGCAAACGGG
rnacentral:rRNA from 1 species